UUUGAAAACACAGAAAAAGAACAACAAAGGGGGGGGAAAUCCAGAUGAAAGCCCUGAUGAAACAGACACUAAACUACUUCGAAGUGGUAAACGCGUCMAGACAUCUGUCAAGCCUUCUGCAAAGAAAAAGAACUCACCGCCGAAGCUUCAGGUAGCUUCUAUCUUCGACGAAGGGGGGGGACUUGACGCUCCACCACUGUCACCUCUGCCUGUUAAUCUUGAAGACAGCAGUUCAAGUGACAGUGAUUCGAGCGGGGGGGACCAAUCUAGYGAUA